AAUGAAAGUAUAAGUGGGGAAAGAGCAGAUGCUGCCGUUGUUUAUGGAAGCAUCCGCCACCCUGAUACUGUCGACGGAAUUGAUGAUCUCUUUCACAUAGUAUUUGGACGCAUCCACCACCCUGAUACUGUUCGUCUCUCCUUCAUAGUUGAUCUUUUUCACAUAGUAUUUGUGAGAGUUUUGAUAGAAGAAGGUGACGUUGUCUUCGCAGGCUAAUUCAUAUCUGCGAUCGCCGCAGUGCUUGGGAUCGCCCUUGAGGCGGAAAGGGGAGCUGAUGUUGCGGAUAAUGCCGCACGCAGAUGGG
rnacentral:lncRNA from 1 species